GCCGAUCUGGCAGUGAUGGUUCAUGCAACCGCCUGAAGAGCGGAUCAUCUCGGUUCGAUUCCGAGGGUCGGCA
rnacentral:tRNA from 1 species